rnacentral:snRNA from 1 species
GCUUUGGCAGCAUGUACUAAAGCUGGAACAAAACAGAGAUGGUUAGCGUGGUACUUGUUAAGGAUAACAUGUGAAAUUUGUGAUGCAUUUUGUAUUAAA